rnacentral:rRNA from 1 species
UACGUAGGUGGCAAGCGUUGUUCGGAUUUACUGGGCGUAAAGGGCGCGUAGGCGGCCCUCCUUGUCGCGUGUGAAAGCCCCGGGCUCAACCUGGGAAUUGCGCGCGAAACGGGGGGGCUUGAGUUCGGGAGAGGAGCGUGGAAUUCCCAGUGUAGAGGUGAAAUUCGUAGAUAUUGGGAAGAACACCGGUGGCGAAGGCGGCGCUCUGGACCGAGACUGACGCUGAGGCGCGAAAGCGUGGGGAGCAAACAGG